UGGUUAAAAAGCUCGUAGUUGGAUCUCAACAGCCUUGAAGCGGUUAACUUUGUAGUUUUACUGCUUUAUAGGCUGUGCUUUUGCUGGAGGUUUAGGGGUGCUCUUGAUCGAGUGUCUCUGGAUGCCAGCAGGUUUACUUUGAAAAAAUUAGAGUGCUCGAAGCAGGCUAAAAUGCCUGAAUAUUCGCGCAUGGAAUAAUAGAAUAGGAUGUCGAUCCUAUUUUGUUGGUUUUCGGGACUCGACAUAAUGAUAAAUAGGGACAGUCGGGGGCAUUUGUAUUCAAACGACAGAGGUGAAAUUCUUGGACCGUUUGAAGACAAACUACUGCGAAAGCAUUUGCCAAGAAUGUCUUCAUUAAUCAAGAACGAAAGUUAGAGGUUCGAAGGCGAUUAGAUACCGCCCUAGUUCUAACCAUAAACGAUGCCAGCUAGCGAUCUGCCUGCGUUUUUACUGUAGACUGGGCAGGAAGCUUCCGGGAAACCAAAGCAUUUGGGUUCCAGGGGAAGUAUGGUUGCAAAGCUGAAACUUAAAGGAAUUGACGGAAGGGCACCACCAGGAGUGGAGCCUGUGGCUUAAUUUGACUCA
rnacentral:rRNA from 1 species